UACGUAGGGGGCAAGCGUUGUCCGGAAUCAUUGGGCGUAAAGAGCUCGUAGGCGGUCUGUCGCGUCGAUCGUGAAAACUUGGGGCUUAACCCUGAGCUUGCGGUCGAUACGGGCAUGACUGGAGUUCGGCAGGGGAGACUGGAAUUCCUGGUGUAGCGGUGAAAUGCGCAGAUAUCAGGAGGAACACCGGUGGCGAAGGCGGGUCUCUGGGCCGAUACUGACGCUGAGGAGCGAAAGCGUGGGGAGCGAACAGG
rnacentral:rRNA from 1 species